rnacentral:sRNA from 2 species
UCCGUACGGGGAAGGAUGAGAAGCUUCGACCAAGGUUCGAUUCGAGCGCAGCGAGAAAGCGUUGCCGCAGGCAACGACCCGAAGGGCGAAGCGCGCAGCGCUGAGUCAUCCUUCCCCCACCACCA